rnacentral:tRNA from 1 species
GCCGACGUAGCUCAGUGGUAGAGCAACUGAUUCGUAAUCAGUAGGUCGUCAGUUCAAUCCUGACCGUCGGCA